rnacentral:rRNA from 1 species
GACGAACCGAGCAAACGUUAUUCGGAAUCACUGGGCUUAAAGGGCGCGUAGGCGGGCAUCCACGUCUAUGGUGAAAUCCGGCAGCUUAACUGUCGAACUGCCGUGGAUACUGGGUGUCUCGAGGGAGGUAGGGGCGUGCGGAACUAUUGGUGGAGCGGUGAAAUGCGUUGAUAUCAAUAGGAACUCCGGUGGCGAAGGCGGCACGCUGGACCUCUUCUGACGCUGAGGCGCGAAAGCCAGGGGAGCAAACGGG